rnacentral:lncRNA from 1 species
UGAAGUUGCACAUGAGGAAAUGUUAGAUUAAUUGUAUUAAAUUGCUCAUUGUGAUUAAAAAUGCGUAUGACCACUUUGUAUUUGAGCUAAAGGUGGCCAUAUGACCUAUCAACUCCUUGUCAUAUUUGGCCAUAAGCUAGCAUAAUGAGACUUUAAUAAGUUAAAUUUGCUUGAAUUAGCUCAAGAGCUUAGAGGACCAAAGUUGGAC